GCCCUGAACCAUGGAUCAGUCUCCAUCAACGCCAUCAACGGUGACACGUUAAGCGUGGUAAGAAUUCAAUGCUGGCGAAAUUGUAAUAGAAUGCGUUGGCAGGUGUAAUGUUACAAAUGUAGCAGAUGUAACGAAGACUUCCACAUUGAUAAAAUUGCAAUGGACCCAGAAGAAAGAAAACUCGAAGCACCCCCGAAGAAACGGUACCGAAAAGAUGAAUCUAGCUCUGAAUCUGAGGAUGAUUAUGUGCCAUAUGUACCAGUCAAGGAGAGGAAGCAGCAGUUGAUGAAACUUGGACGACUGAGUCAGCUGAAAGAUGAGUGUGGUCAACGUGGGAAGUCCUCAAGUGAGAAUGAGCAUGACAAUGAGGAUGACGAGGAUGGACAGGUGUGGGGGCGCAAAUCCAACAUCAGUUUGCUGGAUCAGCACACCGAGCUCAAGAAACUGGCGGAAGCCAAGAAGGAGAGUGCUAUGGAGCGCCAGUUGAAGGAGGAAGAGAAGAUCUUGGAGAGUGUCGCCGAGAAGAAGGCAUUGAUGGGAGUGGCAGAACUGGCAAAGGGCAUUCAGUACGAGGAUCCUAUCAAAACAAGUUGGAAGCCACCACAUUACAUCUUGGCAAUGUCUGAAACACGUCACAACCGUGUGCGCAAGAAACUAUGCAUAUUAGUCGAGGGGGAGGAUGUGCCCCCUCCCAUAAAAUCAUUUGCUCAGAUGAAGUUUCCACGUGGCAUUCUGACUGGUCUGGAGCGGAAGGGCAUUGUGCGGCCAACACCUAUACAGGUUCAGGGCAUUCCAACUGUGCUGUCAGGGCGUGACAUGAUUGGAAUAGCGUUCACUGGAAGUGGUAAGACUUUGGUGUUUGUCCUGCCACUCAUCAUGUUCUGUCUGGAACAGGAGACACGGUUGCCGUUCAUCAAGAAUGAGGGUCCAUAUGGUCUUGUCAUCUGUCCAUCUCGUGAGCUUGCGAAGCAGACCCAUGACAUCAUCACACAUUACUGCACAGGUCUGCCUCAGGAAAUACGUUGCUGCCUUGCCAUUGGUGGAAUACCUGUUUCAGAAUCGAUGGAAAUUAUAAGUAGGGGUGUCCACAUUAUGGUUGCCACACCAGGCCGGCUGAUGGACAUGUUGGACAAGAAGAUGGUACGACUUGAUGUCUGCAGGUACCUGUGCAUGGAUGAGGCAGACAGGAUGAUAGACAUGGGCUUCGAGGAAGAUGUCAGAACGAUAUUCUCAUUUUUCAAGGGUCAACGUCAGACACUUCUGUUCUCAGCAACAAUGCCUAAGAAAAUCCAGAACUUCGCAAGAUCUGCGCUUGUGAAACCAGUCACAAUAAAUGUUGGUCGUGCUGGUGCUGCUUCCAUGAACGUCAUACAGGAAGUGGAAUAUGUGAAACAAGAAGCAAAGAUUGUGUACCUUUUGGAGUGCCUGCAGAAAACCCCACCACCAGUUCUCAUCUUUGCAGAGAAAAAGCAAGACGUGGACGCAAUACAUGAAUACCUGCUAUUGAAGGGUGUUGAAGCUGUGGCUAUUCAUGGGGGCAAAGAUCAAGAGGAGCGGUCACGGUCAGUUGAGGCUUUCCGGAAGGGACAGAAGGAUGUGCUGGUGGCAACAGAUGUCGCCUCUAAGGGUCUUGAUUUUGCUGAUGUACAGCAUGUUAUCAAUUAUGACAUGCCUGAUGAUGUAGAGAAUUAUGUGCACCGAAUUGGACGAACUGGACGCUCAGGCAAGACUGGAAUUGCUACAACUUUCAUCAAUAAGGCGAAUGAUGAGUCGGUGCUGUUGGAUUUGAAACAUCUGCUGAUGGAAGCGAGACAGAAGGUGCCGCCGUUCCUCGCUGCUCUGCAGUCAGAGAAUGAGAAAUACUUGGAUCUUGGAGAUGAAAGAGGUUGCAGUUAUUGUGGUGGUUUGGGUCAUCGCAUUACGGACUGCCCAAAACUGGAGGCCAUACAGAAUAAGCAAGCUUCUAACAUUGGACGACGUGACUAUCUUGCCAGCAAUGCUGCUGAUUACUAACAAAUUGAUCUUGAUAUUAUCUGCUGUCUAGAACCAGCUACCAUGGCAAGUUUGAUGUUGUCUUCAGUCCGUCAAGGCCAGUGCUAGAGUGCUGGCUUGAAAUUGGAUAGAACUGUUUACUCAGCUGCAAACCUUUCCAAAUCACCAUAGACAGUGAUUGUUACUUUAUGUCAUCAGGUGAUUGUGUAGGAUAUAUGAAUUUAAUUAAAUGCAAGAAGUUCUGGGAAGAACUAAUUGCCCACUUUCCUUUUGGACAACCUGGGCUGUGUAGAAAAUGGAUGCGUCCAACAUUUCUUUUACUGUUGGGGGUGUGUAUUCAUUGGUAUGGGAAUGUGUUUACUGAGCUGAUGCCUAGCAACAACACUGGGGGGGGGAUUACACAGACAGACAGCAAGGUGAUCUCAUAAGCCUAACUAACAAACUGUGGAGCUGAGCUCUUCUCAAGGAGCCACCGCUUAUGCAGCUAUUUAAAAACUUCCCAACAUUUCAUGGAAGAACUCAAAGGUUCAUUACCUCACAAGAGCUCUUCACUGGCCCCUAUCCUGAGCUAGAUCAAUCCAGUUCAUCCCAUCUCUCUGAGAUCCAUUUUAAUAUUAUCCACAUACCUACAUCUUCGAUGUGGAUGAAUAAUUAAAUCAGUGAAACUGGGAGAGGAACUUGCUUCAGCCUCAUUUUGUAUGCAGUGAGAAGCUCCUGAAAGUGAGUCUGGAGUCAGCUGCUACACCAGCACGGUGAUACCAGGGCCUGAUGAACCAGUACGCAUGCUGGCACAAUGAUGUGACAUGGAUGAUGGUCAGAAAGCAUUAACACUUUAUACUCUCCAGGGUAAGGGCUGAGUGGCAUCUUGUUUGCCUGUGUCGUCCUCAAGGCUGGCAUCGGCUGCUGACUGGUCACUGAAAUUAUAAUAGAGGAUGUGUGGAUGGACAGCAAGCCCAAGUAGGAAGCAGCGCUAUGAGACACACAGGCAGCGGGCCAUGCACUGGAAUUGCUCUAUAGUUAAUAUUUGCAAUUUCUGAGAUUUAAGCAUUUUGCCAUCAUGAAGUUGUUAACAGCAGUUUACAGUAAUUAUAGUCUUCCAAUUAAAAUCAUUAGGAAAAGCAUUCCUUCUUUCCUAGUGCAACAAGUCCCUGAUUAGCAUGGGAGAUGUAUUCUUGAAAAGCGCUGUGUGAAGUGAAAUUGCUUUAAAGUUGUGUCGGAAGAAAAUUGGCUGUAACUUCAAGAACCAUGUUAAACUGAAUAUGUUGGUAUAACUGGUGUUAGCCGAGGACUGGGUGUGCUGGAACUGCUGAAUGAACAGCCUAAAAUAUUGGCAAGGGAGUGUUUAUCUGAUUAUUCUGAUUGUCUUAAUUUCUUUAGUAACGCUAGAAGCAGGACUUCUAAGAUAUAAGACUCUCCAGGGUAAGGGCUGAGUGGCAUCUUGUUUGCCUGUGUCGUCCUCAUGGCUGGCAUCGGCUGCUGACUGGUCACUGAAAUUAUAAUAGAGGAUGUGUGGAUGGACAGCAAGCCCAAGUAGGAAGCAGCGCUAUGAGACACACAGGCAGAGGGCCAUGCACUGGAAUUGCUCUAUAGUUAAUAUUUGCAAUUUCUGAGAUUUAAGCAUUUUGCCAUCAUGAAGUUGUUAACAGCAGUUUACAGUAAUUAUAGUCUUCCAAUUAAAAUCAUUAGGAAAAGCAUUCCUUCUUCCCUAGUGCAACAAGUCCCUGAUUAGCAUGGGAGAUGUAUUCUUGAAAAGCGCUGUGUGAAGUGAAAUUGCUUUAAAGUUGUGUCGGAAGAAAAUUGGCUGUAACUUCAAGAACCAUGUUAAACUGAAUAUGUUGGUAUAACUGGUGUUAGCCGAGGACUGGGUGUGCUGGAACUGCUGAAUGAACAGCCUAAAAUAUUGGCAAGGGAGUGUUUAUCUGAUUAUUCUGAUUGUCUUAAUUUCUUUAGUAACGCUAGAAGCAGGACUUCUAAGAUAUAAGGUAAUUACAUUCUCAAAAAUAAGUACUGUACAAUUAUACAUGUAUAUAACAUACACUGAGGGUGUCUGAGAACAGGGAGCACAGGGGAAUGUUUCAGCUGAAGAGGGAAGAAGUGACAGGAGGCUGGAGAAACUGCAUAAUGAGGAGCUUCAUAACUUGUACUCCUCAUCAAAUUAGUGUUACCAAAUGAAGGAUUAUGAGAUGGAGAAGGCAUGCAGCAUACAUAAGGAAGAAUGCAAAAAUUAUCUUAUAUAUUAAAUAUUAAUAACCUUAAAGCUGUAUAUUAUGCGUAUUAUCCUUCAGUGGUGAAAUAUGGAAUAAUAUACUGGGGAAAUACAACAGACAGUCAUAAGGGCUUUGUUAUACAAAAGAAAAUAAUAAGAAUAAUGAUGGGAGUGGGCCCAACUCAUACAUGUAGAGAUUUAUUUAAAAAGCUUGACAUACUGCCAAUGCCAUGUGUAUAUCUGCUCUCAGUGAUGAUAUAUGCUGUUAAUUUGGACAGGUUUCAAACCACUAACUCUGUAUAUGUGAUUGGGACCAGAAGGAAUGACCACCUUCAACACAUUUAUCAUCCAAUCAGAGAGGAGUGUAUUAUUCAGGCGUCAAGCUAUUUAAGACACUGCUGUCAAAUAUCACAGUUUUAAAAAAUGAUCAAAAUCAAUUUUGGUUUGUUUUACGAAAUUAUUUGCAAUGUGACUCAUUUUACUCUAUUGACGACUUUGUCGAGCAUGCAAGGGGCUAAAAAGUUAGGAGUUAAUAAAUGGUCUGUGUGUUUGUAUUACACACUGUUGAGACUUGCUUGUUGUAAGUGUGGCAGUAUGUAUGAUGUGUUUUUGUUAUGAAUUUUAAUACGUUACAGUGAAACUGUAUUGAUGAUAUGGCUGGCCAAUGUGUGCAGUUGCACAGCAUAGAGUUUUUAUGGUUGGAAAUGAGGGAUUUUGUUCAGGGUUGAAUGUGACAGUGGUUUUUCCACGGACUGUGUGUUUUGUCUUGACAACUUCUGCUGUGUGCAUAAGGCCUGAUUAUAUAUUUUAUUGGGCCAAGGACGUAUGAUGUGUAGCCAUCAUGAAUUUCUAAUGUGUGACAUGUUUUAUAUCCAGCCCUAUGGGGAGGUAAGUGGAUCCAUUUAGUGAAAAUAAAUGCAGAUGUAAAUGAA